rnacentral:rRNA from 1 species
AUACGGAGGAUGCGAGCGUUAUCCGGAUUUAUUGGGUUUAAAGGGAGCGUAGGCGGGAGCUUAAGUCAGCGGUUAAAUGGUGCGGCUCAACCGUGCCCUGCCGUUGAAACUGGGUUUCUUGAGAGUGCAAGAUGCGGAUGGAAUUUAUGGUGCAGCGGUGAAAUGCUUAGAUAUCAUGAAGAACUCCGAUUGCGAAGGCAGUCCGCUGGGGCACGUCUGACGCUGAUGCUCGAAGGUGCGGGAAUCAAACAGGAUUAGAUACCCUGGUAGUCCGCACGGUAAACGAUGAUUACCCGCUGUCGGCGGUAGACAGUCGGCGGCCAAGCGAAAGCGAUAAGUAAUCCACCUGGGGAGUACGCCGGCAACGGUGAAACUCAAAGGAAUUGACGGGG